rnacentral:lncRNA from 1 species
UUGCGCCUGGGCUGAAAACGAGGGGUUCGCCAUGGCGCGCGGGCCGAAAACGGAGGCUCGGGCACGAACUCGAAAAUAAGCUAAGUCCAAGCGUGUGGAAAGACACCGAACCUAAAGUGCAUGUCUUGAGUGAAGGGCAAGGUGGAACGGAGGGAAAACAGGAGGAGGCGCGCGGCGACGGGCGGCAGGGCCGUUCGGCCUUGCGCCUGGGCUGAAAACGAGGGGUUCGCCAUGGCGCGCGGGCCGAAAACGGAGGCUCGGGCAUGAACUCGAAAAUAAGCUAAGUCCAAGCGUGUGGAAAGACACCGAACCUAAAGUGCAUGUCUUGAGUGAAGGGCAAGGUGGAACGGAGGGAAAACGGGAGGAGGCGCGCGGCGACGGGCGGCAGGGCCGUUCGGCCUUGCGUCUGGGCUGAAAACGAGGGGUUCGCCAUGGCGCGCGGGCCGAAAACGGAGGCUCGGGCACGAACUCGAAAAUAAGCUAAGUCCAAGCGUGUGGAAAGACACCGAACCUAAAGUGCAUGUCUUGAGUGAAGGGCAAGGUGGAACGGAGGGAAAACGGGAGGAGGCGCGCGGCGACGGGCGGCAGGGCCGUUUGGCCUUGCGUAUUGGCUGAAAACGAGGGGUUCGCCAUGGCGCGCGGGCCGAAAACGGAGGCUCGGGCACGAACGCGAAAACGGGCUAAGUCCAAGCGUGUGGAAAGACACCGAACCUAAAGUGCAUGUCUUGAGUGAAGGGCAAGGUGGAACGGAGGGAAAACGGGAGGAGGCGCACGGCGACGGGCGGCAGGGCCGUUCGGCCUUGCGUAUUGGCUGAAAACGAGGGGUUCGCCAUGGCGCGCGGGCCGAAAACGGAGGCUCGGGCACGAACGCGAAAACGGGCUAAGUCCAAGCGUGUGGAAAGACACCGAACCUAAAGUGCAUGUCUUGAGUGAAGGGCAAGGUGGAACGGAGGGAAAACAGGAGGAGGCGCGCGGCGACGGGCGGCAGGGCCGUUCGGCCUUGCAUAUUGGCUGAAAACGAGGGGUUCGCCAUGGCGCGCGGGCCGAAAACGGAGGCUCGGGCACGGACGCGAAAACGAGCUAUGUCCCAGCGUGUGGAAAGACACCGAACCUAGAGCGCAUGUCUGGAGUGAAGGUCAAGGUGGAACGGAGGGAAAACGGGAGGAGGCGCGCGGCGACGGGCGGCAGGGCUGUUCGGCCUUGUGUAUGGGCUGAAAACGAGGUGUUCGCCAUGGCGCGCGGGCCGAAAACAACGGUUCGGCCACGACCGCGAAAACGGGCUAAGUCCAAGCGUGUGGAAAGACACCGAGGCUGCUACGUAGGGCUCGGUUGAAGGUGUCACACCCGGCUUUAAGGAACAAAGCCAGGUGCAUCUCAUACAUGCGCCAAGAAGACAACAUAUAUAAUAACAGAGUGAAUAGAGAUAAAUGUCACAAAACAUCAGAGUACUUAUUACAUAGCGGAAGACUUAUUACAAAAUAAAAGAAUAAACAUAAAACGAACUAAGGAUCGUCGGCGCCAAUGUCAACUGAGAAACGCCACCUAGAUCAGAUCAUACUCCUCGCCUUGUGGCUCCUCCUGAACCACCUGCUCUUCUCCUGUGGGGGGGGUGUGAGACAGCAAGGGUGAGCUCACACAUGAUCAUCGCUCAACAAGUUGUGGGGAAUAAUGUGACAUGAACUCACCAAAGGUGGGAGCUCAUGGAGUGUAAGGCUUAUCAAAGAGAAUGGUUAAAGCUGAGCAUUGCUUUUAAGUAGUUGGUCAAAAUUUUAUUAGCAAUUACUAAGUGUAAGUAAAUACCAACCCAUAAUAAAAUAAUAGAGAACAAAAUUAAUAAUAAACCCAUGCAAAUGCAAAUGAUAAAUUGAGUUUAGGUUCCAUAAUUUAAUCAUCAGAGAGUCCUGAGCUGCUCAUGACCGUGAGCACGGCUAGUAUACCAGUUUUACACUCUGCAGAGGUUGUACCCUUUACCCACAAGUCAUGCUACCCAUCUGCCAAGGGGUCGCGAAUCCCAUACACCUCUACCUAGGAAGCGCGGCAGGGCAACACUACGAGGCCUUUACAAAGUUCCACUAGCUUCCGAAUACCCGCUACAGUUUAUAGGAAGUUCCAAUGCAGGGUUCCUGGCUGACCGCCAUCGCAGCAAAAUCAACCAGGGACCUCCCUACACUGACCACUCCCCUACUGCCCUUGCCCCUUUCGGGUAAGGUAGUCUUCCACUAGCUUUCCUAAUUAGUCAGCCAAGGGCGUCCCAUUAAACCCUUGUGGUGGCACGUGGUUCUCAAGUUAAGCUCUAUGUUCCAAUUAACAUUAAUGAACUUGACAUGAACAUAAAUAAUAACAAAAAUAAUUGGAACAUAGAUAUAGUAAAUGAUUAUCCCAAAACCAUGUAAAGCAAUAGCAAAACUACCCAAGUGAUUUAGGGGUAAACAAGGUAAUGAGAUAAACAAUCUAGGGUGACCUAUUGGGUCCCAUCAAAAUUAACCUAUGCAUGAAUAAGUGACAUUAAAGAACAUUAUUGGGUAAAAAGUGGUCAAGGGCACAACUUGCCUGGCACUUGAGAUUCCAGUUACCAGGGUGAUUCUUCAGAUCCUCGUGACCUCACCGCUAGUCGUAGCAAUACAAACAAACAGUGCAUAGACAAAAUUAACAUCACACCAAACAUAAGAAUAUACUGCAUAAUGAUGAUCUACGCGUUUCUACGAGACUAACGCAACUUGAACGAAUCAAAUCGGAGUUAAAACGGAGGAGUUAUGAAUUUCUAAGGAUUUUAUGUGUUUUUACAAGAUUAAAUAGCAUAUAAAAUUUAAUGUGACUUUCAUGUCAAAACAGUGGCAAUAGGUGAUAAACCACAUUAUUACAAAAUUAUAGAAAUUGGAAUGGGUCAAUUUGGAGUUCAUACGCAUUUUCUAUGAUUUAUACAAAUUCUAGCAAUUGUUUUUAUAUUCAAAAUCUAUUUUUAAAUCUAUUCCUCUGAUUUACAAAAUCCCUGGACUGCGCACCGAAUAACCAGAUAACCCAGGGGCUAGACUGCAAGUUUCCCUAGACUCAGUAAACCACGAGUUGGACGGCGGGUUCAUUACUUGAUUUUGCAGGGGUUCAUAUGCUAAACUGUCAUGGCGAAGGGGGUAUGGGCGGCCCUGGUCCGCCCGAUCGAGAACCGACAGCGGUGAUUAGAUUUAUAUCUUAUCGAAUCGUUACGAACCGAGAGCUAUUGGAUCUAGAUCCAACGGCCCACAUCCUACGAUCCCGAGAUCUGACCCCAACCCUCCGAUCACAAUCCUGCUGUCGUGGUGGAUCUACCGAAGGAAUACGCGCGUCGUCUAAUCCCUGCCCUUCCCCACGGAUCUAACGGUCACCGAUUCGUCACCUUCCUUCCAGUGAACCGCGGCAACACCGACCCCACAACGGCGGCGACCUCGCCGUCGAGCACCCCAGCCGAGUGCAAAUCCCCGAUUUCGGACGCACAAUACGUUGACUAGAAUAGUACGAGUACUAAUGAGGGUUGCAUACCGAGGAUUAUCGCAGGAGGUUUUCUGGCCACGGUGAUAGGCGGAAGUGUGGCGGUGUCGAAGUUCGACGAGAGAUUGCUGCUCGCCGACCGUCGCACACGCCCGAGAUGAUGGACGAGCACCCCCGCGGCUGCCUAAGGAAGCUCCCAGACAUGGCCCACAGACCUUCCGAUGGUGUACAGGCGGAAUCGACUGCGGCGCCCGCACCCAAUUUCUCCGUUUAUGCUCCCUUCCACGCGCAAGGAGUCAACUUCGAUCCAUUUGAACCAAGGGCACGGAGUUGCAGCGACAUGGGUCAUAUAUGCCCGAGCGAUACGAGGUGGUUGGAAGGCCAUUGUCGUGCCCGGCUAGAGCGCGCGCAUCCGGCGGGUUGUUGCGGCCAUGGCGGUGGAGUCGAGCAGAGGGGCAGGGUACGGCGGAGGAGCUUUCCAUGGGAACAGGGAGGUUCGACCUUCGAUUUUAUACUCCGGAGACGAGGCUGGCGACCCGGUCCGGAUUGAUGCAAGGAUCACGGCGGCUUUCGGUGGUCAGCGGGGGCGGCCCGGCCUUUAUUGCGCGGCAGCCAAGCUUGCUCCGCAUUCAACUCCGAUUUGGGGGGAAAUCGAUCGGAGGAUACGGUAGCCGCGCGCGCGAUUCGCAUCCGGUGAGCGAGUUGGGAGCCUGGGCCUACCCAUCGGCGACAGCAGCCAACGUGGCGCACCUGCGUAGCGCGACUGGCUCCAACGCCUACUGGGAUGCGCGAUUGACGGAACCAGCAGAAGACCCGGCGCUGGGCUCUCACUCGUCAGGGGCGAAGUCGCCACGCGCGGAGGAUCUGCCAGCGCGCGAGCGAGACAUGCGGGGGAAUGAAGAAGGCCCUGACGGACGGGACCCAGUGACGGUGUAGCAGUGGAGAAGCGAAGGGGGAAAAGUGGGCUGUGCGGAAUAAAAGAGGAGAUGGGCCAAAAUGGACAAAGCCGGCCCAGGCAUAUAGUUUUUCUUUUUUUUCUUAUUUGAAUUCCCUUUUCACUUUUAAGUCUCCAAUUUGAAUUCAAACUAUUGUGGCGAAUUUGUAAUCAAAUUUUUGAAUAUAUGAUUUGAAUAAAUUAUUAUGGAAUAACUUUAUUCAUUUAUAAAUUUGUUUUUGGUAUUGUGUAAUAUUUUCUCUUUUCUUCUCUAUUUCAAACCCUAAUUCUCCAUUUAGGUUUAAAACUUCAUCUCAGGUCAUUGUUUUAUUUCUACUAGCAUUAUUAUUGUUAUUUUGUCACAAUAUGCACACAAAAGAAAAUCCGAGCAUGAUGCAUGAUUUAUUUGAGUAGUGUUCUUUUGUUAAUUAUCUAUCUGUGUAAGUGAGGUGUCCACAUGAAAUGAUCGAUAGAGAUGACACACAUAUCUACAAAUGAAUGUAAUAUCUCCUUUUAGAUUUUUCUUACAAAGUGGGUAUUACAAAUCCUACCCCCCUUAAAAAUAAUCUCGUCCUCGAGAUUUAGGAAGAACGAGGGAAAAGAUGGGGAAAUCUAUGUGAAGCUCUUCUUCUCUUUCCCAUGUAGCUUCGACUUCUCCGAGGUGACUCCAUUGAACUUUACACAUUUUUAUCACCUUAUUCCAUGUAACUCGAGUUAAAGUAUCCAAAAUCUUGAUUGGGUACUCCGUAUAAGUCAACUCACCUUGAACACUGAGCUCUUCCAUUGGUAACUGUUCCUCAGGGACACGGAGACACUUCUUCAGCUGAGAUACGUGGAACACAUUAUGCACAUCCGAUAGACUAUCAGGUAGCUCGAGUUGGUAUGCCAUCUCCCCAACUCGCCUAAAGAUCAAGAAUGGUCCAAUAUAGCGAGGGGACAAUUUGCCCUUAACUUUGAAUCUCCUCAUUCCACGAAGUGGUGACACCUUGAGGUACACAUAAUCUCCUUCCUCAAAUUCCAGUGGUCUUCUUCUAUUAUCAGCAUAGCUCUUUUGCCUGGUUUGAGCCACCCUCAAAUUCUCUCGAAUUAUACGGACUUGUUCUUCUGCUUCUUGAAUCAAUUCAGGACCAAAGAACUUUCUUUCUCCAGUCUGAUCCCAAUAUAGAGGAGUCCUGCACUUCCUCCCAUAUAAAGCUUCAAAAGGUGACAUCUUCAGACUGGCCUGAUAGCUACUAUUGUAUGAGAAUUCAGCAUAAGGUAGACUUUUAUCCCAACUUCCUCCAUGCUGAAGGGCACAUGCUCUCAACAUAUCUUCCACUACUUGAUUGGUCCUUUCAGUCUGUCCAUCAGUCUGAGGGUGAUAAGCUGUACUAAAAUUCAACUUCGUACUCAUAUUCUCAUGAAAGCUUCUCCAAAAUCUUGAGAUAAACUGCGAACCUCGAUCAGACACGAUCUUCUUUGGUACUCCAUGUAAACACACAAUCCGAGCCAUAUAUAACUCUGCUAGCUGAGAACCUUUAUAAGUAGUCUUGACAGGAAUAAAGUGAGCCACUUUGGUCAAUCUAUCCCCAAUCACCCAUAUAGCAUCAUAUCCUUUCUAGGUGCGUGGCAAUAUAGUAAUGAAAUCCAUACCAAUCUCUUCCCACUUCCAUUCGGGUAUCUUCAGUGGAUGCAAUAGUCCAGCUGGCCUCUGAUGUUCAGCCUUAACUCUUUGGCAUACAUCGCACAUAGCCACAUGUGCAGCUACAUCUCUCUUCAAUCCAUACCACCAAUACUUCUGUUUCAAAUUCUGAUACAUCUUGGUGCUACCAGGAUGAAUAGAAUAAUCCGAGUCAUGGACCUCCUUCAAAAUAGUCUCACGAAGGCUUUCAAUAUCCGGAACACACAUCCUGUCCUUGAACCAUACGAUGCCUUGCUCAUAUUCCGUAAAUUCCGGAACUCGACCUUCAGUAAUCAGAUCCUUAAUCUCUUGUAUUUUUGCAUUACCAAUUUGGCCUUUGCGGAUCUCUUGCUCCAAGGUAGGUUCCACAUCAAUAGUAACUCUUUCAGUGUGAGCAACUAUCCCCAGGUUAAGUCUCCUGAAAUUCUCAACAAUCUCAUCGGGUAGCUGGGAAACAAUAGCUGAAUGAACAUGCUCCUUUCGACUCAAGGCAUCUGCAACCAAAUUUGCCUUGCCCGGGUGAUAGUGAAUCUCCAAAUCAUAAUCCUUAAUAAGCUCCAACCAACGGCGUUGCCUAAGGUUGAGAUCAUUCUGAGUGAAUAUAUACUUUAAACUCUUAUGAUCCGUGUACACUUGACACUUGGUUCCCACGACAUAAUGUCUCCAUAUCUUAAACGCAUGCACAAUGGCUGCCAAUUCUAAGUCAUGAGUGGGGUAAUUCAAUUCAUGUUUCCGUAACUGACGAGAAACAUAUGCAAUCACAUGUCCUUCCUGCAUGAGUACACAUCCCAAGCCUUGGCCACAUGCAUCACAAUAAAUAUCAAAUCCCUUCUAUAGGUCUGGCAUAACCAACACUGGUGGAGACAUCAACCUCUUCUUUAAUUGAUCAAAGCUAUCUUGGCACUUCUCAUCCCACUUGAACUCUCUUCCCUUCUCUAGAAGUGAGGUCAUAGGCUUAGCGAUCUUAGAAAAUCCUCCAAUAAAUCUCCGAUAGUAUCCUGCAAGUCCCAAGAAACUCCGAAUCUCAGUAACUGUAGUGGGUACUCUCAACUCCAUUAUCUCCUUAACCUUGGCAGGAUCGACUGAUAUUCCUCCAUUAGAAAUAAUAUGACCAAGAAAUGACACCUCGCCAAUCCAAAACUCACACUUGCUGAACUUGGCAUAUAGCUGGUUAUCUCGUAGCUUCUGUAGCACCAACCUUAGAUGUUCCUCAUGAUCACUAUCACUCUUGAAAUAGAUAAGAAUAUCGUCGAUGAAAACCACGACGAAUCUGUCCAGAUCAUGAACACUUUAUUCUUUAGAUCCAUAAAAUAGGCUGGUGUUUUAGUUAGUCCAAAUGACAUAACAGUGAACUCAUAUAAUCCAUAUCGAGUCGAGAAUGCUGUCUUGGGAAUAUCCGAUGGUCUAAUCCUCAUCUGAUGGUAACCCGAUCGGAGAUCAAUCUUCGAGAAUACUCUAGCACCUCUCAUCUGAUCAAAUAAAUCCUCAAUAUGGGGCAACAGAUACUUGUUCUUCACAGUAACAUCAUUAAGGGAUCUAUAAUCCACACACAUCCGCUGUGAUCCAUCCUUCUUCUGUACAAACAGAACCGACGCUCCCCAAGGUAAGGAACCCGAACGAAUGUACCCAGCCUCUUGUAAUUCCAUUAAUUGCUUCUUAAGUUCCUUUAGCUCUUCUACGGACAUCAUGUAUGGCUGUUUAGAAACAGGAGCAGUCCUAGGUAAGAGAUCAAUGACUAACUCAACUUCCAUAUCUGGUGGCAUCCCUAAUAACUCCUCUAGAAAGACACUCGAAGAAAAUCCCUAAUCCGCACGGGUGUUGUCACCAUUAAACUUCUCAUCUACUAAAAAUGUCGCUAGUUGGAUGGUGGUUGUUACCACAAUUUCAACUUCAAAUCUUUCUUCUUUGGAACUGGUGAGCUCUACGGUUCCCUUAGCAUGGUGUAUAUACAGACUUUGCCUUUCUUAACCAUAACAUGCCAAGGAUCAAGUCUAUACUGCUCUCUUCUAACAGUAUAGGGGUAGCCCAUUUGGGUUAGAAAUACAGGGUAAGAAAGAAGAAUUGUAGACAAGGCGAGUAAUUACGAGGAAUGUUGCUACGGGGGAUUUAUUAGCUAAGUAGAUUAGUGUGUUAUCCACUAAAGCUAAUUCAUUACCUUAUGUUGGUACAUGCUAAGAUGUCCAUAUAUAAUAUAUCAAUCAAUCAAAGAAGCAAAUCAGACAUUUAACAUCAGAACUAUCAAACAACAUUUUUAAAGAAAAUAGUUUUAAAUUUUGUCUUGGGUUCCCUAUCUCUUAAAAAGAUCAUAGUGGUAGGAUUCCAAUGUGUGAAAUCCAUCUUGUCUUAGAGUAGAAAAGAUAAGAUUAAUCAGAGUAGAGUAGCAAAAGGUGAGACAAGAUCGAGAUGAGAUGAGUAUGGAAUGAAUCAGAGUAAGGUAAGUAGGAAAGGUUUGUCCAUUUCUAUCUAGGUUUCGUCCUACAGUCAACAUUUGCUCUGAUACCACUUCUGUCACACCCGACUUUAAGGAACAAAGCCAGGUGCAUCUCAUACAUGCGCCAAGAAGACAACAUAUAUAAUAACAGAGUGAAUAGAGAUAAAUGUCACAAAACAUCAGAGUACUUAUUACAUAGCGGAAGACUUAUUACAAAAUAAAAGAAUAAACAUAAAACGAACUAAGGAUCGUCGGCGCCAAUGUCAACUGAGAAACGCCACCUAGAUCAAAUCAUACUCCUCGCCUUGUGGCUCCUCCUGAACCACCUGCUCUUCUCCUGUGGGGGGGUGUGAGACAGGAAGGGUGAGCUCACACAUGAUCAUCGCUCAACAAGUUGUGGGGAAUAAUGUGACAUGAACUCACCAAAGGUGGGAGCUCAUGGAGUGUAAGGCUUAUCAAAGAGAAUGGUUAAAGCUGAGCAUUGCUUUUAAGUAGUUGGUCAAAAUUUUAUUAGCAAUUACUAAGUGUAAGUAAAUACCAACCCAUAAUAAAAUAAUAGAGAACAAAAUUAAUAAUAAACCCAUGCAAAUGCAAAUGACAAAUUGAGUUUAGGUUCCAUAAUUUAAUCAUCAGAGAGUCCUGAGCUGCUCAUGACCGUGAGCACGGCUAGUAUACCAGUUUUACACUCUGCAGAGGUUGUACCCUUUACCCACAAGUCAUGCUACCCAUCUGCCAAGGGGUCGCGAAUCCCAUACACCUCUACCUAGGAAGCGCGGCAGGGCAACACUACGAGGCCUUUACAAAGUUCCACUAGCUUCCGAAAACCCGCUACAGUUUAUAGGAAGUUCCAAUGCAGGGUUCCUGGCUGACCGCCAUCGCAGCAAAAUCAACCAGGGACCUCCCUACACUGACCACUCCCCUACUGCCCUUGCCCCUUUCGGGUAAGGUAGUCUUCCACUAGCUUUCCUAAUUCGUCAGCCAAGGGCGUCCCAUUAAACCCUUGUGGUGGCACGUGGUUCUCAAGUUAAGCUCUAUGUUCCAAUUAACAUUAAUGAACUUGACAUGAACAUAAAUAAUAACAAAAAUAAUUGGAACAUAGAUAUAGUAAAUGAUUAUCCCAAAACCAUGUAAAGCAAUAGCAAAACUACCCAAGUGAUUUAGGGGUAAACAAGGUAAUGAGAUAAACAAUCUAGGGUGACCUAUUGGGUCCCAUCAAAAUUAACCUAUGCAUGAAUAAGUGACAUUAAAGAACAUUAUUGGGUAAAAAGUGGUCAAGGGCACAACUUGCCUGGCACUUGAGAUUCCAGUUACCAGGGUGAUUCUUCAGAUCCUCAUGACCUCACCGCUAGUCGUAGCAAUACAAACAAACAGUGCAUAGACAAAAUUAACAUCACACCAAACAUAAGAAUAUACUGCAUAAUGAUGAUCUACGCGUUUCUACGAGACUAACGCAACUUGAACGAAUCAAAUCGGAGUUAAAACGGAGGAGUUAUGAAUUUCUAAGGAUUUUAUGUGUUUUUACAAGAUUAAAUAGCAUAUAAAAUUUAAUGUGACUUUCAUGUCAAAACAGUGGCAAUAGGUGAUAAACCACAUUAUUACAAAAUUAUAGAAAUUGGAAUGGGUCAAUUUGGAGUUCAUACGCAUUUUCUAUGAUUUAUACAAAUUCUAGCAAUUGUUUUUAUAUUCAAAAUCUAUUUUUAAAUCUAUUCCUCUGAUUUACAAAAUCCCUGGACUGCGCACCGAAUAACCAGAUAACCCAGGGGCUAGACUGCAAGUUUCCCUAGACUCAGUAAACCACGAGUUGGACGGCGGGUUCAUUACUUGAUUUUGCAGGGGUUCAUAUGCUAAACUGUCAUGGCGAAGGGGGUAUGGGCGGCCCUGGUCCGCCUGAUCGAGAACCGACAGCGGUGAUUAGAUUUAUAUCUUAUCGAAUCGUUACGAACCGAGAGCUAUUGGAUCUAGAUCCAACGGCCCACAUCCUACGAUCCCGAGAUCUGACCCCAACCCUCCGAUCACAAUCCUGCUGUCGUGGUGGAUCUACCGAAGGAAUACGCGCGUCGUCUAAUCCCUGCCCUUCCCCACGGAUCUAACGGUCACCGAUUCGUCACCUUCCUUCCAGUGAACCGCGGCAACACCGACCGCACAACGGCGGCGACCUCGCCGUCGAGCACCCCAGCCGAGUGCAAAUCCCCGAUUUCGGACGCACAAUACGUUGACUAGAAUAGUACGAGUACUAAUGAGGGUUGCAUACCGAGGAUUAUCGCAGGAGGUUUUCUGGCCACGGUGAUAGGCGGAAGUGCGGCGGUGUCGAAGUUCGACGAGAGAUUGCUGCUCGCCGACCGUCGCACACGCCCGAGAUGAUGGACGAGCACCCCCGCGGCUGCCUAAGGAAGCUCCCAGACAUGGCCCACAGACCUUCCGAUGGUGUACAGGCGGAAUCGACUGCGGCGCCCGCACCCAAUUUCUCCGUUCAUGCUCCCUUCCACGCGCAAGGAGUCAACUUCGAUCCAUUUGAACCAAGGGCACGGAGUUGCAGCGACAUGGGUCAUAUAUGCCCGAGCGAUACGAGGUGGUUGGAAGGCCAUUGUCGUGCCCGGCUAGAGCGCGUGCAUCCGGCGGGUUGUUGCGGCCAUGGCGGUGGAGUCGAGCAGAGGGGCAGGGUACGGCGGAGGAGCUUUCCAUGGGAACAGGGAGGUUCGACCUUCGAUUUUAUACUCCGGAGACGAGGCUGGCGACCCGGUCUGGAUUGAUGCAAGGUUCACGGCGGCUUUCGGUGGUCAGCGGGGGCGGCCCGGCCUUUAUUGCGCGGCAGCCAAGCUUGCUCCGCAUUCAACUCCGAUUUGGGGGGAAAUCGAUCGGAGGAUACGGUAGCCGCGCGCGCGAUUCGCAUCCGGUGAGCGAGUUGGGAGCCUGGGCCUACCCAUCGGCGACAGCAGCCAACGUGGCGCACCUGCGUAGCGCGACUGGCUCCAACGCCUACUGGGAUGCGCGAUUGACGGAACCAGCAGAAGACCCGGCGCUGGGCUCUCACUCGUCAGGGGCGAAGUCGCCACGCGCGGAGGAUCUGCCAGCGCGCGAGCGAGACAUGCGGGGGAAUGAAGAAGGCCCUGACGGACGGGACCCAGUGACGGUGUAGCAGUGGAGAAGCGAAGGGGGAAAAGUGGGCUGUGCGGAAUAAAAGAGGAGAUGGGCCAAAAUGGACAAAGCCGGCCCAGGCAUAUAGUUUUUCUUUUUUUUCUUAUUUGAAUUCCCUUUUCACUUUUCUUUUCACUUUUAAGUCUCCAAUUUGAAUUCAAACUGUUGUGGCGAAUUUGUAAUCAAAUUUUUGAAUAUAUGAUUUGAAUAAAUUAUUAUGGAAUAACUUUAUUCAUUUAUAAAUUUGUUUUUGGUAUUGUGUAAUAUUUUCUCUUUUCUUCUCUAUUUCAAACCCUAAUUCUCCAUUUAGGUUUAAAACUUCAUCUCAGGUCAUUGUUUUAUUUCUACUAGCAUUAUUAUUGUUAUUUUGUCACAAUAUGCACACAAAAGAAAAUCCGAGCAUGAUGCAUGAUUUAUUUGAGUAGUGUUCUUUUGUUAAUUAUCUAUCUGUGUAAGUGAGGUGUCCACAUGAAAUGAUCGAUAGAGAUGACACACAUAUCUACAAAUGAAUGUAAUAUCUCCUUUUAGAUUUUUCUUACAAAGUGGGUAUUACAAAUCCUACCCCCCUUAAAAAUAAUCUCGUCCUCGAGAUUUAGGAAGAACGAGGGAAAAGAUGGGGAAAUCUAUGUGAAGCUCUUCUUCUCUUUCCCAUGUAGCUUCGACUUCUCCGAGGUGACUCCAUUGAACUUUACACAUUUUUAUCACCUUAUUCCAUGUAACUCGAGUUAAAGUAUCCAAAAUCUUGAUUGGAUACUCCGUAUAAGUCAACUCACCUUGAACACUGAGCUCUUCCAUUGGUAACUGUUCCUCAGGGACACGGAGACACUUCUUCAGUUGAGAUACGUGGAACACAUUAUGCACAUCCGAUAGACUAUCAAGUAGCUCGAGUUGGUAUGCCAUCUCCCCAACUCGCCUAAAGAUCAAGAAUGGUCCAAUAUAGCGAGGGGACAAUUUGCCCUUAACUUUGAAUCUCCUCAUUCCACGAAGUGGUGACACCUUGAGGUACACAUAAUCUCCUUCCUCAAAUUCCAGUGGUCUUCUUCUAUUAUCAUCAUAGCUCUUUUGCCUGGUUUGAGCCACCCUCAAAUUCUCUCGAAUUAUACGGACUUGUUCUUCUGCUUCUUGAAUCAAUUCAGGACCAAAGAACUUUCUUUCUCCAGUCUGAUCCCAAUAUAGAGGAGUCCUGCACUUCCUCCCAUAUAAAGCUUCAAAAGGUGACAUCUUCAGACUGGCCUGAUAGCUACUAUUGUAUGAGAAUUCAGCAUAAGGUAGACUUUUAUCCCAACUUCCUCCAUGCUGAAGGGCACAUGCUCUCAACAUAUCUUCCAAUACUUGAUUGGUCCUUUCAGUCUGUCCAUCAGUCUGAGGGUGAUAAGCUGUACUAAAAUUCAACUUCGUACUCAUAUUCUCAUGAAAGCUUCUCCAAAAUCUUGAGGUAAACUGCGAACCUCGAUCAGACACGAUCUUCUUUGGUACUCCAUGUAAACACACAAUCCGAGCCAUAUAUAACUCUGCUAGCUGAGAACCUUUAUAAGUAGUCUUGACAGGAAUAAAGUGAGCCACUUUGGUCAAUCUAUCCCCAAUCACCCAUAUAGCAUCAUAUCCUUUCUAGGUGCGUGGCAAUAUAGUAAUGAAAUCCAUACCAAUCUCUUCCCACUUCCAUUCGGGUAUCUUCAGUGGAUGCAAUAGUCCAGCUGGCCUCUGAUGUUCAGCCUUAACUCUUUGGCAUACAUCGCACAUAGCCACAUGUGCAGCUACAUCUCUCUUCAAUCCAUACCACCAAUACUUCUGUUUCAAAUUCUGAUACAUCUUGGUGCUACCAGGAUGAAUAGAAUAAUCCGAGUCAUGGACCUCCUUCAAAAUAGUCUCACGAAGGCUUUCAAUAUCCGGAACACACAUCCUGUCCUUGAACCAUACGAUGCCUUGCUCAUAUUCCGUAAAUUCCGGAACUCGACCUUCAGUAAUCAGAUCCUUAAUCUCUUGUAUUUUUGCAUCACCAAUUUGGCCUUUGCGGAUCUCUUGCUCCAAGGUAGGUUCCACAUCAAUAGUAACUCUUUCAGUGUGAGCAACUAUCCCCAGGUUAAGUCUCCUGAAAUUCUCAACAAUCUCAUCGGGUAGCUGGGAAACAAUAGCUGAAUGAACAUGCUCCUUUCGACUCAAGGCAUCUGCAACCAAAUUUGCCUUGCCCGGGUGAUAGUGAAUCUCCAAAUCAUAAUCCUUAAUAAGCUCCAACCAACGGCGUUGCCUAAGGUUGAGAUCAUUCUGAGUGAAUAUAUACUUUAAACUCUUAUGAUCCGUGUACACUUGACACUUGGUUCCCACGACAUAAUGUCUCCAUAUCUUAAGCGCAUGCACAAUGGCUGCCAAUUCUAAGUCAUGAGUGGGGUAAUUCAAUUCAUGUUUCCGUAACUGACGAGAAACAUAUGCAAUCACAUGUCCUUCCUGCAUGAGUACACAUCCCAAGCCUUGGCCACAUGCAUCACAAUAAAUAUCAAAUCCCUUCUGUAGGUCUGGCAUAACCAACACUGGUGGAGACAUCAACCUCUUCUUUAAUUGAUCAAAGCUAUCUUGGCACUUCUCAUCCCACUUGAACUCUCUUCCCUUCUCUAGAAGUGAGGUCAUAGGCUUAGCGAUCUUAGAAAAUCCUCCAAUAAAUCUCCGAUAGUAUCCUGCAAGUCCCAAGAAACUCCGAAUCUCAGUAACUGUAGUGGGUACUCUCAACUCCAUUAUCUCCUUAACCUUGGCAGGAUCCACUGAUAUUCCUCCAUUAGAAAUAAUAUGACCAAGAAAUGACACCUCGCCAAUCCAAAACUCACACUUGCUGAACUUGGCAUAUAGUUGGUUAUCUCGUAGCUUCUGUAGCACCAACCUUAGAUGUUCCUCAUGAUCACUAUCACUCUUGAAAUAGAUAAGAAUAUCGUCGAUGAAAACCACGACGAAUCUAUCCAGAUCAUGAACACUUUAUUCUUUAGAUCCAUAAAAUAGGCUGGUGUUUUAGUUAGUCCAAAUGACAUAACAGUGAACUCAUAUAAUCCAUAUCGAGUCGAGAAUGCUGUCUUGGGAAUAUCCGAUGGUCUAAUCCUCAUCUGAUGGUAACCCGAUCGGAGAUCAAUCUUCGAGAAUACUCUAGCACCUCUCAUCUGAUCAAAUAAAUCCUCAAUAUGGGGCAACAGAUACUUGUUCUUCACAGUAACAUCAUUAAGGGAUCUAUAAUCCACACACAUCCGCUGUGAUCCAUCCUUCUUCUGUACAAACAGAACCGACGCUCCCCAAGGUAAGGAACCCGAACGAAUGUACCCAGCCUCUUGUAAUUCCAUUAAUUGCUUCUUAAGUUCCUUUAGCUCUUCUACGGACAUCAUGUAUGGCUGUUUAGAAACAGGAGCAGUCCUAGGUAAGAGAUCAAUGACUAACUCAACUUCCAUAUCUGGUGGCAUCCCUAAUAACUCCUCUGGAAAGACACUCGAAGAAAAUCCCUAAUCCGCACGGGUGUUGUCACCAUUAAACUUCUCAUCUACUAAAAAUGUCGCUAGUUGGAUGGUGGUUGUUACCACAAUUUCAACUUCAAAUCUUUCUUCUUUGGAACUGGUGAGCUCUACGGUUCCCUUAGCAUGGUGUAUAUACAGACUUUGCCUUUCUUAACCAUAACAUGCCAAGGAUCAAGUCUAUACUGCUCUCUUCUAACAGUAUAGGGGUAGCCCAUUUGGGUUAGAAAUACAGGGUAAGAAAGAAGAAUUGUAGACAAGGCGAGUAAUUACGAGGAAUGUUGCUACGGGGGAUUUAUUAGCUAAGUAGAUUAGUGUGUUAUCCACUAAAGCUAAUUCAUUACCUUAUGUUGGUACAUGCUAAGAUGUCCAUAUAUAAUAUAUCAAUCAAUCAAAGAAGCAAAUCAGACAUUUAACAUCAGAACUAUCAAACAACAUUUUUAAAGAAAAUAGUUUUAAAUUUUGUCUUGGGUUCCCUAUCUCUUAAAAAGAUCAUAGUGGUAGGAUUCCAAUGUGUGAAAUCCAUCUUGUCUUAGAGUAGAAAAGAUAAGAUUAAUCAGAGUAGAGUAGCAAAAGGUGAGACAAGAUCGAGAUGAGAUGAGUAUGGAAUGAAUCAGAGUAAGGUAAGUAGGAAAGGUUUGUCCAUUUCUAUCUAGGUUUCGUCCUACAGUCAACAUUUGCUCUGAUACCACUUCUGUCACACCCGGCUUUAAGGAACAAAGCCAGGUGCAUCUUAUACAUGCGCCAAGAAGACAACAUAUAUAAUAACAGAGUGAAUAGAGAUAAAUGUCACAAAACAUCAGAGUACUUAUUACAUAGCGGAAGACUUAUUACAAAAUAAAAGAAUAAACAUAAAACGAACUAAGGAUCGUCGGCGCCAAUGUCAACUGAGAAACGCCACCUAGAUCAGAUCAUACUCCUCGCCUUGUGGCUCCUCCUGAACCACCUGCUCUUCUCCUGUGGGGGGGUGUGAGACAGCAAGGGUGAGCUCACACAUGAUCAUCGCUCAACAAGUUGUGGGGAAUAAUGUGACAUGAACUCACCAAAGGUGGGAGCUCAUGGAGUGUAAGGCUUAUCAAAGAGAAUGGUUAAAGCUGAGCAUUGCUUUUAAGUAGUUGGUCAAAAUUUUAUUAGCAAUUACUAAGUGUAAGUAAAUACCAACCCAUAAUAAAAUAAUAGAGAACAAAAUUAAUAAUAAACCCAUGCAAAUGCAAAUGACAAAUUGAGUUUAGGUUCCAUAAUUUAAUCAUCAGAGAGUCCUGAGCUGCUCAUGACCGUGAGCACGGCUAGUAUACCAGUUUUACACUCUGCAGAGGUUGUACCCUUUACCCACAAGUCAUGCUACCCAUCUGCCAAGGGGUCGCGAAUCCCAUACACCUCUACCUAGGAAGCGCGGCAGGGCAACACUACGAGGCCUUUACAAAGUUCCACUAGCUUCCGAAAACCCGCUACAGUUUAUAGGAAGUUCCAAUGCAGGGUUCCUGGCUGACCGCCAUCGCAGCAAAAUCAACCAGGAACCUCCCUACACUGACCACUCCCCUACUGCCCUUGCCCCUUUCGGGUAAGGUAGUCUUCCACUAGCUUUCCUAAUUAGUCAGCCAAGGGCGUCCCAUUAAACCCUUGUGGUGGCACGUGGUUCUCAAGUUAAGCUCUAUGUUCCAAUUAACAUUAAUGAACUUGACAUGAACAUAAAUAAUAACAAAAAUAAUUGGAACAUAGAUAUAGUAAAUGAUUAUCCCAAAACCAUGUAAAGCAAUAGCAAAACUACCCAAGUGAUUUAGGGGUAAACAAGGUAAUGAGAUAAACAAUCUAGGGUGACCUAUUGGGUCCCAUCAAAAUUAACCUAUGCAUGAAUAAGUGACAUUAAAGAACAUUAUUGGGUAAAAAGUGGUCAAGGGCACAACUUGCCUGGCACUUGAGAUUCCAGUUACCAGGGUGAUUCUUCAGAUCCUCGUGACCUCACCGCUAGUCGUAGCAAUACAAACAAACAGUGCAUAGACAAAAUUAACAUCACACCAAACAUAAGAAUAUACUGCAUAAUGAUGAUCUACGUGUUUCUACGAGACUAACGCAACUUGAACGAAUCAAAUCGGAGUUAAAACGGAGGAGUUAUGAAUUUCUAAGGAUUUUAUGUGUUUUUACAAGAUUAAAUAGCAUAUAAAAUUUAAUGUGACUUUCAUGUCAAAACAGUGGCAAUAGGUGAUAAACCACAUUAUUACAAAAUUAUAGAAAUUGGAAUGGGUCAAUUUGGAGUUCAUACGCAUUUUCUAUGAUUUAUACAAAUUCUAGCAAUUGUUUUUAUAUUCAAAAUCUAUUUUUAACUCUAUUCCUCUGAUUUACAAAAUCCCUGGACUGCGCACCGAAUAACCAGAUAACCCAGGGGCUAGACUGCAAGU